rnacentral:tRNA from 2 species
GCGGCUGUGGCGGAAUUGGUAGACGCGCAAGCUUGAGGGGCUUGUGUCCGCAAGGACGUGGAGGUUCGACUCCUCUCAGCCGCACCA